rnacentral:snRNA from 1 species
GUCAUCGCGCUUGGUUGAAAAGC